UAUAAUUAGUGUAUAAUGAGCAGUGAGACGACUGGAGGUCACUUUCAUCGCCAUCUUGGUUUUGGUGGGUUUUGGACAGCUUCUUUACGCAUGCUGUUUUAUCAGCAAGGUCUUUGUGACCUGUAUCUUGUGCCGACCUCCUAUCUCAUCCUGUGACUAGGAAUGCCUUAACCUCCUGGAAUGCAGCUCACAUGCCAGAAACUAUACAAUCCACCCCCUCUGAAGGAGUUUGUUCAUUUAAAAAAAAAAAAAGGGAAAUUUGGGUGCAGACAGGCACACAGGGAGAACACCAUGUCAACACGAAGGCAGAAGUUGGAGUGAUGAGUCUACAAGCCAAGGAUUGCCAGCAAUUCAUCAGAGGCCAGGACAGCAGCCUGGGGCAGCCCCCUACAUGGUACCAACUCCAUCAACACCUUGAUCUCAGACUUCCAACCUCCAGAACUGUAUCACAGUCUGGAAGUCUGCUCACAGUCUCAAGGUUGGCAUAUCCCCUAGAGCCCCCAGACUCCUCAUCCCAUGGAGACCAACAUGGCCAGGGGAGGGCCAGAGCAGGGCCUUCUAAAUCACAGACCCCAGGGCAGGAGCCCCUCCGGUCUGGAUCUAAGGAUGGUAUUUUCAACAAUUCCUAAAUUUUUAUCCUAGGCUCUCCAAAUGGGAGUCUAAAGGUCUCAAAACAUGGUCCAGAAGAAGUAUGCAAAAAUGUAAAUUCCUAGGCCCCAACCCAGACCUAUGAAUCAGAUGAUCUGUAUGGGGGUUCAAGGAAUCUAUAUUAUUAAACAAUCUUCCUAAAUGACUUGUAUUCAUACUAAAGCUUGAGAAUUGCUAUCAAACAGCUAGAAGUUGGAGUGAAGGGUCCUGCCUUUCCCAUGAAAUUCAUCAACUCUAUGCCCUCAAAAGCUGGGCUCUUGGAUGAGCUGCUCUCCAUUCUAGAGACAUUACCAGCUAGGUAGCCUGCUGGUCCUCAGGAAGUUAAGCCCAGACUCUUCAGCACAGAAUCAGAUAAACACUGAUUACAUUGUACUCUACAGUUCUGAGAACACCAUUACUUAAUUCCCGGCAAGUUGCAAUGUAAUUGAGUAGGUUGUAGUUUUUUGGGUUUGGGGUUUUUUUGUUUUUUAAAUAUAUCAGGCGUAGUUAGCCAGCUUCCUAGAAACACCAUGAUCUCUUGGUGAAAAUUCCAGAAAUAUGCAUCACUUCCUAAUUAAAGUAGGGAAUUUUUAAAAAUUAUUAAACCACAUGCUUUCUAAUUCCUAUUGCCCUUUCUUUUCACCCACCAUUCAGCAGUCAGCAGACACUUUCUGGGUACAACAGGGUAGGACCAUCCAGGCAGAACAAAAGCCAUUGAUCAUGAACUACAGAGGAGAGUUUGGUAAAUGGACACCAGAAACCAUGGCCUACAGGGGCCUGGUUUUCUCCCAUCUAAAUACUAACUAGGCCCAACGCUAGUUGGGCUUAGCUUCCUAGAUCAGAUGAAAUUGGGCACAUUUAGGGUUGGGGGUAUGGCUCUCUAUUGUAAGUAGCAAGAGUUUGAGAGAAGAAAAAAGGGAUUUUCUUUUUUUUUUCUUUUAAAUUUUAGAGCAUUAACUUUAAACAUCAAGAUCCAAACCCCAAGGAUUCAGAGAAUCUUGUACUAUAAACCAUUUGUAUUAGUCAGGGUUCUCCAGAGAAACAGAACCCAUAGGAGGUAUAGAGAUAGAGAAAUAUGGAAUUGGCUCCCAUGAUUAUGGAGGCUGAGAAGUCCCUCAAUCUGCUGUCUGUGAGCUGGAGACCUAGGAAAGCUUAGCUGGUGGUACAAACCAGCCCAAGUGCAAAGGCCCAAGAACUAAGAGCACCAUUGUCAGAGAGCAGGAAAAGACAGAUGUCCCAGCUCAAAAAGAGAGAGCAAAUUCACCUUCCUUCCACCAUUUUAUUCCGUCCUGUUCCAUUCCUCAACAGGUUGGAUGAUGAGGGAGAUCUUUAUCCAUCUCAAGUUUUUUGUGCAAAUAUGGAAUACAAAUGAAAAAUACUUAAAGCACAUCAUCAUUGAUUUCCAACUUAGACUAGUUUAACUUCCCUUUUUCUUCUAUCCUGUCAGUUCCUUGAGGGAUCCUCUCUCCUUGUUCAUCUCUGCAUCUCUAGUAAUUAGCACAGUGCCAGGCACAUGGUAAUAUGGCUAAAACAGUGGAUUAUUGGUCUCCAACAUAAUUAAGCCCAUCCAAAAGAAAAACCAACCUCAUAAAUCUGCUUUGCAAAGUUCAUAAACAAUGGAUAUGCUAUGUCUCAAAGGUGCUGGCCAAAAAAAUUUAAGAACUUGGGAAUUAUGUGUUAUUUUGUUUGUUUUUUUCACCAAGCCUACUUUUCUGUCACAAGAGCCCAUAUCAACAACACACCCAUGUAUGUCCUUCUUUUUAUCUACUUUUCUCCAUGAAGUUUGUCACCAUCAACUGUUAAAACUGUAAAGAUUUGAUCAGCUAAAUAAGUGGUCUUUGAACUAAUUCCUCUCGUACUUCCUAAAGGAACUUUGAAAAACUAUGUAUCCCCUUGCACAUUUUCAAGCAGACACCUAAGAUUUUUCAUCAUAAAUUUGAAUAACUUCAAAAUAUGUACUUAUUAGCAUAUUGUAAAUAUUGAUUUUUAAAUAAAAUAUAUCACACUUUGUAUCCAAUGAA
rnacentral:lncRNA from 1 species